AGCAGCCGCGGUAAUUCCAGCUCCAAUAGCGUAUAUUAAAGUUGUUGCAGUUAAAAAGCUCGUAGUUGAAUUUCGGGACCAAUCUGCCGGUCGUGCCUCCGGUACGCACUGGUUUUAUUGGUUUCUCCCUUCUGACGAACCAUGAUGUCAUUAAUUUGGUGUCAUGGGGAAUCAGGACUGUUACUUUGAAAAAAUUAGAGUGUUUAUAGCAGGCUCACGCUUGAAUACAUUAGCAUGGAAUAAUGAAAUAGGACGUUUGACCCUAUUUUGUCGGUUUCUAGGAUCGACGUAAUGAUUAAUAGGGAUAGUUGGGGGCAUUAGUAUUCAAUUGUCAGAGGUGAAAUUCUUGGAUUUAUUGAAGACUAACUACUGCGAAAGCAUUUGCCAAGGAUGUUUUCAUUAAUCAAGAACGAAAAGUUAGGGGAUCGAAGACGAUCAGAUACCGUCGUAGUCUUAACCAUAAAACUAUGCCGACUAGGGAUCGGAUGAUGUUAAAUUUUUUUAAAUGACUCAUUCGGCG
rnacentral:rRNA from 1 species